rnacentral:tRNA from 1 species
GCAAGUAUAGUUUAAUCAAAACAUUAGCCUGUGAUCCUAAAAAUAGAAGUUAAAUUCUUCUUACCUGCCAAGGGGAGGU